rnacentral:rRNA from 3 species
UUAAAUUGAAGAGUUUGAUCAUGGCUCAGAUUGAACGCUGGCGGCAGGCCUAACACAUGCAAGUCGGACGGUAACAGGAAGCAGCUUGCUGCUU